CGGGUGAAAAGCCCGCUCGCCGGAAGACCAAGGGUUCCUGUCCAACGUUAAUCGGGGCAGGGUGAGUCGACCCCUAAGGCGAGGCCGAAAGGCGUAGUCGAUGGGAAACAGGUUAAUAUUCCUGUACUUGGUGUUACUGCGAAGGGGGGACGGAGAAGGCUAUGUUGGCCGGGCGACGGUUGUCCCGGUUUAAGCGUGUAGGCUGGUUUUCCAGGCAAAUCCGGAAAAUCAAGGCUGAGGCGUGAUGACGAGGCACUACGGUGCUGAAGCGACAAAUGCCCUGCUUCCAGGAAAAGCCUCUAAGCAUCAGGUAACAUCAAAUCGUACCCCAAACCGACACAGGUGGUCAGGUAGAGAAUACCAAGGCGCUUGAGAGAACUCGGGUGAAGGAACUAGGCAAAAUGGUGCCGUAACUUCGGGAGAAGGCACGCUGAUAUGUAGGUGAAGCGACUUGCUCGUGGAGCUGAAAUCAGUCGAAGAUACCAGCUGGCUGCAACUGUUUAUUAAAAACACAGCACUGUGCAAACACGAAAGUGGACGUAUACGGUGUGACGCCUGCCCGGUGCCGGAAGGUUAAUUGAUGGGGUUAGCGGUAACGCGAAGCUCUUGAUCGAAGCCCCGGUAAACGGCGGCCGUAACUAUAACGGUCCUAAGGUAGCGAAAUUCCUUGUCGGGUAAGUUCCGACCUGCACGAAUGGCGUAAUGAUGGCCAGGCUGUCUCCACCCGAGACUCAGUGAAAUUGAACUCGCUGUGAAGAUGCAGUGUACCCGCGGCAAGACGGAAAGACCCCGUGAACCUUUACUAUAGCUUGACACUGAACAUUGAGCCUUGAUGUGUAGGAUAGGUGGGAGGCUUUGAAGUGUGGACGCCAGUCUGCAUGGAGCCGACCUUGAAAUACCACCCUUUAAUGUUUGAUGUUCUAACGUGGGCCCCUUACCGGGGUUGCGGACAGUGUCUGGUGGGUAGUUUGACUGGGGCGGUCUCCUCCUAAAGAGUAACGGAGGAGCACGAAGGUUGGCUAAUCCUGGUCGGACAUCAGGAGGUUAGUGCAAUGGCAUAAGCCAGCUUGACUGCGAGCGUGACGGCGCGAGCAGGUGCGAAAGCAGGUCAUAGUGAUCCGGUGGUUCUGAAUGGAAGGGCCAUCGCUCAACGGAUAAAAGGUACUCCGGGGAUAACAGGCUGAUACCGCCCAAGAGUUCAUAUCGACGGCGGUGUUUGGCACCUCGAUGUCGGCUCAUCACAUCCUGGGGCUGAAGUAGGUCCCAAGGGUAUGGCUGUUCGCCAUUUAAAGUGGUACGCGAGCUGGGUUUAGAACGUCGUGAGACAGUUCGGUCCCUAUCUGCCGUGGGCGCUGGAGAACUGAGGGGGGCUGCUCCUAGUACGAGAGGACCGGAGUGGACGCAUCACUGGUGUUCGGGUUGUCAUGCCAAUGGCACUGCCCGGUAGCUAAAUGCGGAAGAGAUAAGUGCUGAAAGCAUCUAAGCACGAAACUUGCCCCGAGAUGAGUUCUCCCUGACUCCUUGAGAGUCCUGAAGGAACGUUGAAGACGACGACGUUGAUAGGCCGGGUGUGUAAGCGCAGCGAUGCGUUGAGCUAACCGGUACUAAUGAACCGUGAGGCUUAACCUU
rnacentral:rRNA from 1 species